UAUUUCCUGUCAACUUGCAGCCUGAUCGAGUGGCAGAAUUCUGUAAACGAAACAAAUUGCAAUUGAUCAUAAGAGCUCAUGAGUGUGUUAUGGAUGGAUUUGAGCGUUUCGCCCAUGGGCAGUUGAUCACUUUAUUUUCAGCCACUAAUUAUUGUGGCACUGCAAAUAAUGCUGGCGCCAUACUUGUGGUGGGAAGGGGACUAGUUAUUGUCCCGAAGUUAAUUCAUCCACUUCCACCACCUGUUAAUUCUCCUGAGUCAUCCCCUGAACGUGCCAUGGAUGCCACAUGGAUGCAGGAACUUAACAUACAGCGGCCACCUACACCAACUAGAGGACGGCCGCAUUCUGCUGGUGACAGGAACUCUCUUGCUUACAUAUGAUACAUAGCCGACCCCCUCCAUCUUGACCCUGUAUGUUUCUCGUCAGAAAUUUCUUCGCCAGUUGCAAGGUACAUACAUUAUACCUCGGGACAGCCAGCCAACAGAGCAUCAUGGACUCCCAAUUUUUCGAGACAUUGCCCGGUAGUUAAGUUGAUAGUGACUCAUCAGUGUUCAGUGCAGUCAGCCCCUCAUUGGGGAGCUACAUACAUAACAGUUCUGAAGGGAAGAAUGGAAUGUUGUCAGAUAAUUGUUGGAAAGUGGGAGUCUGUGUGUAUCAUUGUCGCGGUUUACCUGUAACUGUAGUGUUGUACAUGUUUAGAUCAUUGUUCAUCCAGAGCAAGAAGGCUUGUAAUGUGUUCCGUAUACCGUGUUCGUUACCAUUUAGGACGCUGCUUGCACAGCGCAGCUAUACAAGUUUUACUGAGUUAGAUUGGCUGGAGGAAAACUACCUCCUCGUGAUGUUGUAACUGAAGUGUUGUUGAUUAAAUUUGUUAUAGGAAUGUUUACAAUAAGUUUAGUUUA